CUACACACAGAGCUAGAGUUACCUCAAUUCAUAAUACAUGGGACUGAUGGACUGUUACAUAGACACAGUGAAAAGACACUAGCAGGUCAGCCACCAUGGUAAACAUUGUAACUUGGUUACAUGGAAACAGUGAAAAGACACGAGCAGGUCAGCCACCAUGGUAAACAGGAAAACAUUGUAACUUGGUUACAUAGACACAGUGAAAAGACACUAGCAGGUCAGCCACCAUGGAAAACAUUGUAACUUGGUUACAUAGACACAGUGAAAAGACACUAGCAGGUCAGCCACCAUGGUAAACAGGAAAACAUUGUAACUUGGUUACAUAGACAGUGAAAAGACACUAGCAGGUCAGCCACCAUGGUAAACAGGAAAACAUUGUAACUUGGUUACAUAGACAGUGAAAAGACACUAGCAGGUCAGCCACCAUGGUAAACAGGAAAACAUUGUAACUUGGUUACAUAGACAGUGAAAAGACACUAGCAGGUCAGCCACCAUGGUAAACAGGAAAACAUUGUAACUUGGUUACAUAGACACAGUGAAAAGACACUAGCAGGUCAGCCACCAUGGUAAACAGGAAAACAUUGUAACUUGGUUACAUGGAGACAGUGAAAAGACACUAGCAGGUCAGCCACCAUGGUAAAUAGGAAAACAUUGUAACUUGGUUACAUGGAGACAGUGAAAAGACACUAGCAGGUCAGCCACCAUGGUAAAUAGGAAAACAUUGUAACUUGGUUACAUAGACACAGUGAAAAGACACUAGCAGGUCAGCCACCAUGGUAAAUAGGAAAACAUUGUAACUUGGUUACAUAGACACAGUGAAAAGACACUAGCAGGUCAGCCACCAUGGUAAAUAGGAAAACAUUGUAACUUGGUUACAUAGACAGUGAAAAGAUAUUAGCAGGUCAGCCACCAUGGUAAACAGGAAAACAUUGUAACUUGGUUACAUAGACACAGUGAAAAGACACUAGCAGGUCAGCCACCAUGGAAAACAUUGUAACUUGGUUACAUAGACACAGUGAAAAGACACUAGCAGGUCAGCCACCAUGGUAAAUAGGAAAACAUUGUAACUUGGUUACAUAGACACAGUGAAAAGACACUAGCAGGUCAGCCACCAUGGUAAACAGGAAAACAUUGUAACUUGGUUACAUAGACACAGUGAAAAGACACUAGCAGGUCAGCCACCAUGGUAAAUAGG